CGCGGCCUAGACAACUACGAAGUACCGUCGGAGACUACAUUUCCCGGGCGGCGCCGCGGGAACCGGAAGCGCUUGGGGUCCAGCACGCAGGCGCAAAGUCCCCUCUGGUUAUAUAAGGAGGGUGCCGCAGCACCUCGUUCUUUUGCGUUUGCAUUUCCUUCUUGACCGCCUGAGUUUGUUCUCCUGCAUCGUCCUCAUCCGAUGUCAUCCAGCCCUGAGAAUUCAGGGUUUUUACCCUGUGUGGUUAGCGUGAUCAAAGGGUACAGAAUGGAUCUUGAAGGAGAGAGUUGUUGCCGGGCCUCCAAAGGAACCCCGAUGUCGUGUAGACAUCGAGAGCCUUUGAUCUCCUGAUCUCUGAAAGCAGACUUGGUGUGGACCAGGAUGAAUCCAGGAGUGGCAAAGGAUUGGGAAGUGAUGUGCACAUUUUCUAAGUACCCAUGCCCACAUGGCUGAACCGACGUAAAAUCUGGAGAAUGGAGGAGGUUUAGAGCCCUGUGUGUCACUGGGCAGAAAAUUGAUUGCAGCCUGAUCUUCCUCUUGGCUCAGUCUGUGCUGUAACAGGAGUUUCUCACUGGUGGAGUUGGAAUACAAGGCCUCUUGAGAAAAAAUUGACCCUGUGUUUUCCUGAGAAAGCAUAAUGGAAUUUUGCACGCUUCCUUAUCUGGAGAAGGAAAAUAAAAAAUUCUUGAAAGCAAA